rnacentral:lncRNA from 1 species
UAUCUAUCUCUUCAUUUUCUUUUUCUAUUCUUACCAUUGCUGUUAAUUUAUCUUCUAAUUUUAAUUCUUCUUUUUCUAACAUUAGAUAUAAAUGUUCACCUAUUUUCUUAUAUCUUCUUCCUAGAUUAGAAAAUACUAUUUUUAUUUUUAAUCCUUCGUGGUUUUCAUAUAUUUUUUCAUCUAUUAUAAAUUCUUCUUUGUUCAUUUUAUUAUGAAUAGUUCAUGUUGAUAUAUAUAUUCUAAACUAUCUAUUUGUGAUUCUAAUUUUGAUAUUUCAUCUUUUUGUGUAUCUAUUGAGUUUUUACUAACUCCGGCAAAUAUAUUAUAAUGUAGUCUUUCUAUUCUUAUUUUUAAUUCUUUACGUUUUUCAGAGAUAAUUUGUCUUAAU